UACAGAGGGUGCAAGCGUUAAUCGGAAUUACUGGGCGUAAAGCGUGCGUAGACGGUUGCGUAAGUCAGAUGUGAAAGCCCCGGGCUCAACCUGGGAAUUGCAUUUGAGACUGCGUAGCUAGGGUGCGGAAGAGGGAAGCGGAAUUUCCGGUGUAGCGGUGAAAUGCGUAGAUAUCGGAAGGAACACCAGUGGCGAAGGCGGGUCUCUGGACAGUUCCUGACGCUGAGGCACGAAGGUCAGGGGAGCAAACGGG
rnacentral:rRNA from 1 species